rnacentral:rRNA from 1 species
GAUGAACGCUGGCGGCGUGCCUAAUACAUGCAAGUCGAGCGAACCACUUCGGUGGUGAGCGGCGAACGGGUGAGUAACACGUAGGUGAUCUGCCCAUCAGACGGGGACAACGAUUGGAAACGAUCGCUAAUACCGGAUAGGACGAAAGUUUAAAGGUGCUCCUGGCACCGCUGAUGGAUGAGCCUGCGGCGCAUUAGCUAGUUGGUAGGGUAAAGGCCUACCAAGGCGACGAUGCGUAGCCGACCUGAGAGGGUGAACGGCCACACUGGGACUGAGACACGGCCCAGACUCCUACGGGAGGCAGCAGUAGGGAAUCUUCGGCAAUGGGCGAAAGCCUGACCGAGCAACGCCGCGUGAAUGAUGAA